CCGGGUGAAAUGCUCACCGAUAUCCGUGCGCUUGCGGAUCAUUUCCUUAUUGCGUUACCAAAUAUCAACAAGCAUUUGUGGCGCCGUUGCCGGGGAGAAAGACGGUUUGCUGAGAUAACUUUGAGUCUUGCUAUUAUCUUGUAUUAUACUUAUAUACUUUUAUUCUUUUAUCUUUUUAUUUUUAUCUUUAUGGAUAACUUAUAUUCCAUACCUAUUACUGAAUUCUUUGCACCUUCGGAGACCAGCCAU
rnacentral:lncRNA from 1 species